rnacentral:rRNA from 1 species
UUGGAAAUGUGUGUCCAAGCAGCAAGUCUGAGAACGAGUGAAAUGCUUUUUCUCUCAAGGACAAGCUGUGAUGGGGAGCGAAAUUUAGUAGCGAAGUUCCUGAUGUCACACUGCCAAGAAAAGCUUCUAGUGAGAAAGUAACUGCCCGUACCGCAAACCGACACAGGUAGUUGAGGAGAGAAUCCUAAGGUGUGCGAGAGAACUCUCGUUAAGGAACUCGGCAAGAUGACCCCGUAACUUCGGGAGAAGGGGUGCUGACCGGAAGGUCAGCCGCAGUGAAUAGGCCCAAGCGACUGUUUAUCAAAAACACAGGUCUCUGCAAAAUCGAAAGAUGACGUAUAGGGGCUGACGCCUGCCCGGUGCUGGAAGGUUAAGAGGAGAGGUUAGCGCAAGCGAAGCUUUGAAUUGAAGCCCCAGUAAACGGCGGCCGUAACUAUAACGGUCCUAAGGUAGCGAAAUUCCUUGUCGGGUAAGUUCCGACCCGCACGAAAGGCGUAACGAUUUGGGCACUGUCUCAACGAGAGACUCGGUGAAAUUAUAGUACCAGUGAAGAUGCUGGUUACCAGCGACAGGACGGAAAGACCCCAUGGAGCUUUACUGCAGUUUGAUAUUGCGUGUUUGUAUCACAUGUACAGGAUAGGUAGGAGCCGAAGAUACCGGGACGCCAGUCUCGGAGGAGGCAACGGUGGGAUACUACCCUUGUGAUAUGACCACUCUAACCCGCUGCUCUUAGCGAGCAGGGAGACAGUGUCAGACGGGCAGUUUGACUGGGGCGGUCGCCUCCAAAAAUGUAACGGAGGCGCCCAAAGGUUCCCUCAGAUUGGUUGGAAAUCAUUCGUAGUGUAAAGGCAGAAGGGAGCUUGACUGCGAGACUUACAAGUCGAGCAGGGACGAAAGUCGGGCUUAGUGAUCCGGUGGUUCCGCAUGGAAGGGCCAUCGCUCAACGGAUAAAAGCUACCCUGGGGAUAACAGGCUUAUCUCCCCCAAGAGUUCACAUCGACGGGGAGGUUUGGCACCUCGAUGUCGGCUCAUCGCAUCCUGGGGCUGUAGUCGGUCCCAAGGGUUGGGCUGUUCGCCCAUUAAAGCGGUACGCGAGCUGGGUUCAGAACGUCGUGAGACAGUUCGGUCCCUAUCCGUCGCGGGCGUUGGAAAUUUGAGAGGAGCUGUCCUUAGUACGAGAGGACCGGGAUGGACACACCGCUGGUGUACCAGUUGUUCUGCCAAGAGCAUCGCUGGGUAGCUAUGUGUGGACGGGAUAAACGCUGAAAGCAUCUAAGCGUGAAGCCCCCCUCAAGAUGAGAUUUCCCAUCACUUUAAGUGAGUAAGACCCCUGAGAGAUGAUCAGGUAGAUAGGUUGGGAGUGGAAGUACAGCGAUGUAUGGAGCGGAC